rnacentral:misc_RNA from 1 species
GAUGAAGAACGCAGCGAAAUGCGAUAAGUAAUGUGAAUUGCAGAAUUCAGCGAAUCAUCGAAUCUUUGAACGCACAUUGCGCCCGCCAGUAUUCUGGCGGGCAUGCCUGUUCGAGCGUCGUUUUCACCAUCAAGCUCUGCUUGUGUUGGGGUCCUGCGGCUGCCCGCAGGCCCUGAAACCCAGUGGCGGGCUCGCUAGUCACACCGAGCGCAGUAGCACAUCUCGCUCAGGGCGUGCGGCGGGUUCUUGCCGUAAAACAACCCCCCCUUUUCACCAAGGUUGACCUCGGAUCAGGUAGGAAUACCCGCUGAACUUAAGCAUAUCAAUAAGCGGAGGA